UACGGAGGGUGCGAGCGUUGUUCGGAAUCACUGGGCGUAAAGCGCGUGUAGGCGGCCCAUUAAGUCUGAUGUGAAAGCCCGGGGCUCACCCCCGGAAGUGCAUUGGAAACUGAUGGACUCGAGUCCCGGAGAGGAGAGUGGAAUUCCUGGUGUAGCGGUGAAAUGCGUAGAUAUCAGGAGGAACACCGGUGGCGAAGGCGGCUCUCUGGACGGUGACUGACGCUGAGACACGAAAGCGUGGGGAGCGAACGGG
rnacentral:rRNA from 1 species